rnacentral:rRNA from 1 species
AUUGAACGCUGGCGGCAUGCCUUACACACGCAAGUCGAACGGCAGCGGGGGAGAAGCUUGCUUUUCCUGCCGGCGAGUGGCGAACGGGUGAGUAAUACAUCGGAACGUGCCCUGUAGUGGGGGAUAACUAGUCGAAAGAUUAGCUAAUACCGCAUACGACCUGAGGGUGAAAGUGGGGGACCGCAAGGCCUCAUGCUAUAGGAGCGGCCGAUGUCUGAUUAGCUAGUUGGUGGGGUAAAGGCCUACCAAGGCGACGAUCAGUAGCUGGUCUGAGAGGACGAUCAGCCACACUGGGACUGAGACACGGCCCAGAAUCCUACGGGAGGCAGCAGUGGGGAAUUUUGGACAAUGGGCGAAAGCCUGAUUCAGCAAUGCCGCGUGUGUGAAGAAGGCCUUCGGGUUGUAAAGCACUUUUGUCCGGAAAGAAAUGGCUCUGGUUAAUACCUGGGGUCGAUGACGGUACCGGAAGAAUAAGGACCGGCUAACUACGUGCCAGCCGCCGCAGUAA